CGGACGGGUGAGUAACGCGUAAGAAUCUAACUUCAGGACGGGGACAACAGUUGGAAACGACUGCUAAUACCCGAUGUGCCGCAAGGUGAAACCUAAUUGGCCUGAAGAAGAGCUUGCGUCUGAUUAGCUAGUUGGUGGGGUAAAGGCCUACCAAGGCAACGAUCAGUAGCUGGUCUGAGAGGAUGAGCAGCCACACUGGGACUGAGACACGGCCCAGACUCCUACGGGAGGCAGCAGUGGGGAAUUUUCCGCAAUGGGCGAAAGCCUGACGGAGCAACGCCGCGUGAGGGAGGAAGGUCUUUGGAUUGUAAACCUCUUUUCUCAAGGAAGAAGUUCUGACGGUACUUGAGGAAUCAGCCUCGGCUAACUCCGUGCCAGCAGCCGCGGUAAUACGGGGGAGGCAAGCGUUAUCCGGAAUUAUUGGGCGUAAAGCGUCCGCAGGUGGUCAGCCAAGUCUGCCGUCAAAUCAGGUUGCUUAACGACCUAAAGGCGGUGGAAACUGGCAGACUAGAGAUCAGUAGGGGUAGCAGGAAUUCCCAGUGUAGCGGUGAAAUGCGUAGAGAUUGGGAAGAACAUCGGUGGCGAAAGCGUGCUACUGGGCUGUAUCUGACACUCAGGGACGAAAGCUAGGGGAGCGAAAGGGAUUAGAUACCCCUGUAGUC
rnacentral:rRNA from 1 species